GAUGAACGCUGGCGGCGUGCCUAAUACAUGCAAGUCGAGCGAACGGACGAGAAGCUUGCUUCUCUGAUGUUAGCGGCGGACGGGUGAGUAACACGUGGAUAACCUACCUAUAAGACUGGGAUAACUUCGGGAAACCGGAGCUAAUACCGGAUGAUAUUUUGAACCGCAUGGUUCAAAAGUGAAAGACGGUCUUGCUGUCACUUAUGGAUGGAUCCGCGCUGCAUUAGCUAGUUGGUAAGGUAACGGCUUACCAAGGCAACGAUGCAUAGCCGACCUGAGAGGGUGAUCGGCCACACUGGAACUGAGACACGGUCCAGACUCCUACGGGAGGCAGCAGUAGGGAAUCUUCCGCAAUGGGCGAAAGCCUGACGGAGCAACGCCGCGUGAGUGAUGAAGGUCUUCGGAUCGUAAAACUCUGUUAUUAGGGAAGAACAUAUGUGUAAGUAACUGCGCACAUCUUGACGGUACCUAAUCAGAAAGCCACGGCUAACUACGUG
rnacentral:rRNA from 1 species